ACAUUAUCUCAUUUCAACAGCCUGGGAAGAGCAAUGCCAUUUUCAACUCUGGGAGAAAUUUGACCAGUGACAGAGCAAAAUUUAGCCCAGACUUUUCACUUUCCUGUUUAUCUCCAAGAAAUCUCCCUGGUUCUUUCAAGGAUGCCUGGGUUGCGAACGGUGCUACAGGAUGGGUAAUGACAAAGUGGCUUAUUCCCAGGCCCUGGAUGUCGCAUGGGAGUGAGUAGAUGAGGCCAGCGGCAGCCUCCCUGGGCUGCCAUGUGGUGGGCUGGGCUCAUGAAGAAACCCUUUGUUCUUCCUCCCAGUUGCCACUACAGUUGCU
ensembl:lincRNA